GUCGAGGUGGUGUAGUUGGUUAUCACGUCUGUCUAACAGAUCCACUCCUCUCAAGAGUGGUCUCUGGUGCACAGAAGGUCCCGAGUUCAAGUCUCGGCUUCGAUA